rnacentral:rRNA from 1 species
UGUGGCCUACGGGACGCAGCAGUGGGGAAUAUUGCACAAUGGGCGAAAGCCUGAUGCAGCGACGCCGCGUGAAGGAUGAAGUAUUUCGGUAUGUAAACUUCUAUCAGCAGGGAAGAAAAUGACGGUACCUGACUAAGAAGCCCCGGCUAACUACGUGCCAGCAGCCGCGGUAAUACGUAGGGGGCAAGCGUUAUCCGGAUUUACUGGGUGUAAAGGGAGCGUAGACGGCGAUGCAAGCCUGUGGUGAAAGCCAGGGCCUCAUCCC